GCGCGGACCAGAGCCCGAAGCCGGGUUAGGCGUUGAGAGGCGGCUGAGGAGAAGCGGAGAGGAAGUGAGGGGGCCCGGAUUCCCACCCUGGCCUCACGGACCUUGGGCUGACCGGUCUGUCUGGCUUCAGGAGCUCGCCGCCGCCGCUGCCGCCGCCGCCGCCACUGCCGCCCGAAACAACCCCGAGCCAGGCGGCCGACGCCCAGAGGGUGGGCUGGAAGCUGAUGAGCUGCUGCCGGCCCGGGAGAAAGUGGCAGAGCCCCCACCACCUCCGCCUCCGCACUUCUCAGAGACUUUUCCAAGUCUGCCCGUCCUCCCAGCUGACAUCAAGCUUAGGGGCCUCAGGAUUCUGAACUUGAGCAGAAAACAGCUGUUUGUGCUGCUCAGGCAUCCUUGGCUGGGGAAAGGGGAAGGUGGGAAAGAGAUGGUUUCAUUUUAAGGUCAAGGGUAAGGAUUGAAAGGGGAUCAGGAGGCCUAAGUAACUGGGAGAAAAAAUCUGGCCACACUCAAGGUGCUGCAUGGCUGGGAGCCAUGGAAAUGAGGUUCAGGGACUGCA
rnacentral:lncRNA from 1 species